GUGGAGUACCAGAAGCCAGAGAAAGCCCAGAAAGCCCUCAAGCAGCUGCCGGACAAAAGUCAGGAGUUAGAAUUACUGAUCCAAAGGAGGUAAAGGUCUAGGACACGUCUGAGACAUGGAAGAUCAGCUCUUCUGAGAUUUCACACAAAAGGACACACUCAUCAGAGAGAUGCAUACAGAAGUCCAACAGGAAACACUUGCAUCCAGGAUGUGAAGUCCUCCAGUUUCCUGGGUUGCUGUGGAGAAAACUCUGGUCCUCUGGUCCUCUGUAUAUGAGCUUGCUUCUUUUCUAUCAUGUUCUGGACUCCACAGUGCAGUGUACUGAUGUGGAUCUACAAUCAUCCCUUUCCUGGGCACUUGACUUCUUCAACCUGAAAAUUCAUGUCCUGCUGCCCAGGCUUGUGAAGAAGGAGUAAACAGGCCUUCACCUGGGCGGGCAGCUCCGGGCUUCCCUGCAGGCCCCAUGUGGGUGCCCUUCCCUUCCUUACGGGCUCCUCUGGCCCAGGGGAGGCGGUGACCACACCUGUGCUGACUAGAGCACGGGAGGUGGCAGUGCAACUGGCCUUGCCCCACGCCUGCUCUCCAGGUUUCUGUUCCAGCCCCCACUGUGGUACUGGCUCAAGUUCUAGUGGGUUCCUGAACCCACUAGUUGUUCCCAGAGCCACACAGCAGCCCCUGGAGGGUCCCCGACCUGGGUGCUCUCAAGACGCCUGCAGACUUGUCUCAGUCGGUGCUGUGGUGCAUCACUUGGUGCUACUACAGAGAGGGCCCUGUCUCCACAGGCACCUGCUCCUGUCAGGGCUCCCCAGGCUCCCCAGGAUGACUUCCUCCUGAUCAGGAAGCGAACAUGGUGUCACUGACAGAACUGCUCCUGGGUGCUCCCAUGAGAAAUUUUCUGCUCUCCAGUUGCCAGGACUCUGCCUGCCCCUGUGUGUCCCUUGAGGUCCCUGCAGUACACACCUGUGACCCCAGUGACAAGGGAGGCUGAGGCAGGAGGAUUGCAAGUUCAAAGCCAGCCUCAACAAUUUAGUGAGGUCCUAAGCAACUGAGUGAGACCAUGUCUCUAAA